rnacentral:rRNA from 1 species
CCUACGGGAGGCAGCAGUCGGGAAUAUUGCGCAAUGGAGGAAACCCUGACGCAGUGACGCCGCGUGCAGGAAGACUGCCCUCGGAUUGUUAACCGUCUUAGAUAGGGAAGAAAAAAGACAGUACUUGUAGAAUAAGCUCCGGCCAACUACGUGUCAGCAGCCGCGGUAAUACGGAGGGAGCAAGCGUUAUCCGGAUUUAUUGGGUGUAAAGGGUGCGUAGACGGGGAAGCAAGUUAGUUGUGAAAUCCCUCGGCUUAACUGAGGAACUGCAGCUAAAACUACUUCCCUUGAGUACUGGAGAGGAAAGUGGAAUUCGUGGUGUAGCGGUGAAAUGCGUAGAUAUUAGGAGGAACACCGGUGGCGAAGGCGACUUUCUGGACAGUAACUGACGUUGAGGCACGAAAGUGUGGGGAGCAAACAGGAUUAGAUACCCUAGUAGUC